UUUUGGUAUUUUGGGGGUGCUUUUUCAGGUGAAGUACUAAAGGGAGCCCGAUAACCCUACCAAGUCCUGCAAAGCUAGGGGAUCUGAUCUCCGUGUUCAUUUCAAG